rnacentral:lncRNA from 1 species
CACCGCAAAAGUCACAAAAACUGAACGUCUUCUGCACCGUCAAUAAUAUCAACUUUGUGGUGUCACAAAUUCAUUAACGUUUGUCAUAACUACUUUGGUUGGUUAUCUAAAAGGCGAAGGGAAAUUGAAUAGAGAUUCAAUAAUUGAACUCAAUUCUCAUAUCACUUGGCUCAACCUGCAUUAUACUCAACAAAUCAUCGACGUAAUGGUUCAAAAUGAACAUUAUUAAUCAUCUUGAUCAUCAUAAUUCAUGGACUAGGAUUCUGAAGCCUGUUGCCUGUUAUUUGGUGGUCAUUCCUGUUUCUUAUUCCAUGGAAGUUAAAACUUGGAAGGAUGCAGUUGAGUGCAGCUCAGGAAACAUGCACAUGACUGUACAUGUGCAGCAGAUGGGCGCAUGCACACCAACAGCUACUAGUGCGCAGCUCUCUCUGCGCAUCCACCAAGUGCAACCUCGUCUCUUUGAUAAUGGACUGCCACAGGACAAGGUGCCAACCGCCCAUCCCGUGCCUGCCGACCAAAGAUAAGAUUAUGUGAUAAAAAUAAAUAGAGUUAAUUCAGUUUAACCUUCCGGCAGUCGUGUUGUAAAAAGUGCAACAGUUGAUAAUUUCUCAGUUUUAAAAGCCUAAUUUUACUUUGCGGGAUUUCGGGCUAUCAUCUAUGCCUUCAACUACAUCUCUCCCAAUCAAAAUUGAAGCUAAUUUAUAUUAAUAUAUUAUGCAUGUAAUGCUCUAAAAUAUUUAUUUGUAUAUAUAGAGUAUAAAAUACAGUUAAUACAGUGUACAGUGUAAUACAGUCGGCUUCGCCUCGGGCAUCAAACUUUCCCCUUCAGGGAGAAAAAGCAUUUUUCACUCGUUAUGUUCACAUUUUUUCUCCACCUACAUCUAUAAAAAACACAUAUAUAAUAAUUUUAAUAACUUAGGUGACCCAUAACAAUAUGUUACAACAUAACUUACGAAUUAAUCUGUUCUUGUCGUUCUGAGUUCUGGCAGAGUUAACUGCCGACUGCGCUAGUGCUAUCUGUAACAAUGAAGGGAUUCAAAACAAUAAUGGCCGACUCCAAAUUUCAGAUUUUAUUAGCUGGUGAGAAAUAUUCGUUGGCUAGUAUUUUGAAUAACAUGAAAUAUUUUCAAAUAUAUACAUUUUUAUAAUCUACUAAUGUCAAGUAUGUAAUAAGUUUAGUAUACAAACAUAUAUUCCAUAAGUUGAUCAAAUUUCUGGUUCAGUUCUUGAAUUUAGUUGGCUCAAUGACAACACUGUAUGCUUCCUCAUUUGAGCUUCGACCUUCCAACCUAUUUCUAAUGUAAGUUUUUAAAACAGAGUUGCUUCCCAUGUUAUUUAAAUGGAGUUACUUUUACACCCUUGGGAGUUUUUUUAUUUUUAGACUCAAGCGCGAAAAAGUGACAUUUUACUAUUAUGCUCCAGGAAGUACAGUAAGUACUACAGACAGACAGUAGGUGGAGGAAAAAUAUAUUUAUCAUCUCAAUUACUUUUAUGACACUAUUUGGAGUGCAGUCUGAAUUGAGUAUCAAAUGCAACUUUUGCUAUAAAUUGGCAUUAUAAAUAUCAAUUUUUAUAAUAAAUAUAUUUAUUUCAUAAUAAAACUGACUGUUCAAAUAGUAUAACACGUGAUCACUCGUGUUAUUCUAAUGGACGCGAUUGCCGGAAGGUUAAUGAAAGAAUACACAGUCGCAAAUGACUGUAUAUCUUAGCAGUUCUUCAACGUAGAGCAUUGUCUUUGCUCUCUUCCAUUUUACAUACUGUUGUAACUGAAACAAUUCCAUACUGCAAAAUGGAUAGUCUUCCUGCACUGGCUACAGAAGUAAACCUUGUGUGUUGGCAUUGAGUCGCAGAAUAACAUAUAUUGUUUUUAAAAGUUUCACAUAGAGGAUCGAUUAAUUUAUUCAGGGUGCUCUCUCAAGCCCUGACGAAUUUCAGUAAAAUUCAGUUCCAGCCCCCGCCCCCAUAAAUUAAGUUCAAGUAUAAAAUGAAAUUUUAUUGAACUCAAGACCACCGAAUGAUAAGGUAUUCCACGUUGAUGAUUUCGAAAUGAAGAUUCUUCAGAAUGGUUAUUGUCCCUUCUGUAUGACCAAGCCAGACAGCUAUAAUAAUGAAAUGAAAAAGAUUUUAUUCAUCCAAAAACUAGUACAAUAACAGGAAAAUCUGCCUCUUAUCAUCUAAACAUAGAAAUGUACAGUAAUAAUGUUGUAACAAAAUGAUAAGAUUAUUUUAUAAGAAUGAAUAAAACAAAAAAUGCCCCGAGGCCUAGCCUGUGUGGGGUGGUAUGCAUAAAUCUUGAAACUAGAGCUAAGAACUACGUCGAUGGGUAAUUUGAUGCGACCGACUGGUCUCUAAAUAUUACAAAUAUACUGCUAGAAUGACAUAAAUUUGAAGAAACAAAGUGGACUUCACAUAAAUAAGCUAUUAUAAUAGGAUAUACAAUUCUUAAAAUACACUGACUACCAAAUUUUAUCAUAUAAAUAUCAUAUAUCAUAUCAUAUUUAUCAUAUAGGGGUAUGAUGAUGUAUGAUGAAAUUAUUUUACAUAAAGAAAUUCCAAGGGGAAAAACAUAAAUAUACAAAUACAAAGUAUACGCCCAAUAAUUCAGUGUAAGAGACCAUAUGCAGAUAUAAUGACAUUGAAUUGCAAAGUACAUCAGGUUGAGUUAUAUCAAGGAUAUGAAAAAGUAUUAGUAUCCUCUAAUUGCAUAAGGUACUCCUUCACUUCUUUAAGAAAAGUGUGUUUAUUAUUCAAUGAUUUUAGUGUAAUAGGGAGUAUAUUAUAAAACUUUGGAGCCAAGAAGGAAUAACAUUUUUUGAAUAAAGUUAAAUUUGGUCUUGGGAUAUUAUCAUCCAAUCGA